rnacentral:rRNA from 1 species
AGAGUUUGAUCCUGGCUCAGGAUGAACGCUAGCUACAGGCUUAACACAUGCAAGUCGAGGGGCAGCAUCAUCAAAGCUUGCUUCGAUGGAUGGCGACCGGCGCACGGGUGAGUAACACGUAUCCAACCUGCCGACAACACUGGGAUAGCCUUUCGAAGGAAAGAUUAAUACCGGAUGGCAUAGUUUUCCCGCAUGGGAUAAUUAUUAAAGAAUCUCGGUUGUCGAUGGGGAUGCGUUCCAUUAGGCAGUUGGCGGGGUAACGGCCCACCAAACCAACGAUGGAUAGGGGUUCUGAGAGGAAGGUCCCCCACAUUGGAACUGAGACACGGUCCAAACUCCUACGGGAGGCAGCAGUGAGGAAUAUUGGUCAAUGGACGAGAGUCUGAACCAGCCAAGUAGCGUGAAGGAUGACUGCCCUAUGGGUUGUAAACUUCUUUUAUACGGGAAUAAAGUUAGCCACGUGUGGCUUUUUGUAUGUACCGUAUGAAUAAGGAUCGGCUAACUCCGUGCCAGCAGCCGCGGUAAUACGGAGGAUCCGAGCGUUAUCCGGAUUUAUUGGGUUUAAAGGGAGCGUAGGCGGGUUGUUAAGUCAGUUGUGAAAGUUUGCGGCUCAACCGUAAAAUUGCAGUUGAUACUGGCGACCUUGAGUGCAACAGAGGUAGGCGGAAUUCGUGGUGUAGCGGUGAAAUGCUUAGAUAUCACGAAGAACUCCGAUUGCGAAGGCAGCUUACUGGAUUGUAACUGACGCUGAUGCUCGAAAGUGUGGGUAUCAAACAGGAUUAGAUACCCUGGUAGUCCACACAGUGAACGAUGAAUACUCGCUGUUGGCGAUAUACAGUCAGCGGCCAAGCGAAAGCAUUAAGUAUUCCACCUGGGGAGUACGCCGGCAACGGUGAAACUCAAAGGAAUUGACGGGGGCCCGCACAAGCGGAGGAACAUGUGGUUUAAUUCGAUGAUACGCGAGGAACCUUACCCGGGCUUAAAUUGCAACUGACUGAACCGGAAACGGUUCUUUCUUCGGACAGUUGUGAAGGUGCUGCAUGGUUGUCGUCAGCCCGUGCCGUGAGGUGUCGGCUUAAGUGCCAUAACGAGCGCAACCCUUAUCGAUAGUUACUAGCAGGUCAUGCUGAGGACUCUAUUGAGACUGCCGUCGUAAGAUGUGAGGAAGGUGGGGAUGACGUCAAAUCAGCACGGCCCUUACGUCCGGGGCUACACACGUGUUACAAUGGGGGGUACAGAAGGCAGCUACACGGCGACGUGGUGCUAAUCCCGAAAGCCUCUCUCAGUUCGGAUUGGAGUCUGCAACCCGACUCCAUGAAGCUGGAUUCGCUAGUAAUCGCGCAUCAGCCACGGCGCGGUGAAUACGUUCCCGGGCCUUGUACACACAGCCCGUCA